rnacentral:lncRNA from 1 species
AUGGCACACGGACAAACAGUUGUCCAUGCAGCGUUACCACAGCUGAUGUCUGAUGAGGAUCAAUUCUUGAGGGUAAACUCACAACCUGAUUCAUGAAAUUAUUUAUUAUAUCAGAAAAAUAAUAGAAGCACUGUGACUGAGUAAUUUGCCAUUGUAUUCAAGAACAAAAUAAUUAUGGUUUAAAAAAGUAGAUAACUCACCUUUUUGAAAGGUGUCACGCCCCAAGGAUUAUUGGGAUGCUCAGGCUCGCCGCUUAUGACCAAACGUCCUGCUGGGUCUGAUUGAACACUACCUCCUCCCGCAGAAGGCCAGGAACUAAAGCAUAUAUU